UACGGAGGGUGCAAGCGUUAUCCGGAUUCACUGGGUUUAAAGGGUGCGUAGGUGGGCUAGUAAGUCAGUGGUGAAAUCUCCGGGCUUAACCCGGAAACUGCCAUUGAUACUAUUAGUCUUGAAUACCAUGGAGGUGAGCGGAAUAUGUCAUGUAGCGGUGAAAUGCUUAGAUAUGACAUAGAAACACCAAUUGCGAAAGG
rnacentral:rRNA from 1 species